GAAUACGCUCCGCAGCUCAAAAGUGGAACUCGCCGCGACUCCGAAAAUAGUAUGAAAGAGAGACGGCGAGAAGGAGGACAGGGAGAGAUUAAGGCAGGAGGAGAAGGCGGUCGGGCAAGCAUCAGCUAAUGCUAUUACUGCUCCGUCUGCUCGGCCAUGCUGGGACCCAUCCUCUAUUCUGGCGCUUGGAAAACAGCCAACCAACAAAUCAACCAACUAGCAAUCCAACCAACCAACCACCCAACCGACCAGCCAAUCGGAAAACAGACAUGUGCGAAAACAUAACCUCCGUGGCAGAAGUAAACUGAUCUAAUGUCAGUUUUUUAGGGGUUUUGAUGAGGCGUUGUGUUUGAAUUUCUCCAAUUUAGCCGCCUCUUAGUCGAUACCUUUCCAUGUCUUGUUUACAUUUUUGUAACCUCAGCUAUUAUAUUCAUGUAUUUCUUCUUUCUUUAAAGUGUGCAUCUGAAUUAAGUGGUGAUAAUAGUCUUUUUUUAUGUCAA